rnacentral:rRNA from 1 species
UGGGGAAUAUUGCACAAUGGGCGCAAGCCUGAUGCAGCAACGCCGCGUGAGGGACGACGGCCUUCGGGUUGUAAACCUCUUUUGGCAGGGAAGAAGCGAAAGUGACGGUACCUGCAGAAAAAGCACCGGCUAACUACGUGCCAGCAGCCGCGGUGAUACGUAGGGUGCAAGCGUUGUCCGGGAUUAUUGGGCGUAAAGAGCUCGUAGGCGGUUUGUCGCGUCUGCUGUGAAAACCCGAGGCUCAACCUCGGGCCUGCAGUGGGUACGGGCAAACUAGAGUGCGGUAGGGGAGAUUGGAAUUCCUGGUGUAGCGGUGGAAUGCGCAGAUAUCAGGAGGAACACCGAUGGCGAAGGCAGAUCUCUGGGCCGUAACUGACACUGAGGAGCGAAAGCAUGGGGAGCGAACA